CAAGUGCAGUCAAAUCACUAGGAGAAGGGGUUUCAUACAGAUCAGUUGGUCUUUUGAUCUGCUACUGCGACUUCUUGUGUUUAUAUGGAUAUAAAAUGGUGCUGAUUAUUUGUGCCGCACUAAAUGACUUGGAAAUUGCUGCAAAACAUAUGAUUUUUUUAAUUGAGGCUAUGUACUUAAGUGCCUGCUGCUUUCCUUUUUGCUUGCAUUCUAAUGAUGAGGCAACUUUAAGUGUUAUAAUUUAUGGAGGCGUUGCAGCCAUAUGCUAGACCUUCAAAGAUGAGGCAUAGUAGGCAGUCCCUGUUGCUGUAACAUAUGUUCAACCAAACAGGCUCUUAGUGUUUAAGCAUUUUUCUUUGCUUAAUAUCAUUCCACCGCUAAUCAGUGGGUAGAACUGAGCGGUCUUUAUAGUGUCACUUAAGCAAUACUGACUUGUUUGUUUCUUCUUUUCAUCAUUAUCAUCUUGAUCGUCGUCACCAUCAUCAUUGUUAUUACUUUUGUUUUUCUCUAUUUAUCAUUGACUUAGAUUGCAGUGAUCAAGUUUCCUUUUUAUUUUAGUUACUUUUAAAAAAAUAUGGAGAAGCUGUGAUGAUUUGCCAACGGAAGUGUGUAUUAUGCUGCAUUCUAGGAAUGUGUUGGUUCUGGUUCAGGGUUUGCGAGAUCUGUUUGUAAAUUUUCUCCUUUUCCUGUUUCUGCAGUACUGUGAUGGCGAGGUAAUUGUUGGCAACUUCUAUUAUGUUGUCACCUUUGCAGCCAUUUUCUUGAUCUGCGGACCUGUAGAGGUGAAAGAGUUGGUUUGUUCCUAACAAUUCUAAUGAUUGAUAUAAAGCAAAUCUGAGCUUUCAGUGGUCUUCUCAUGAAUCUUUUUUCCAGGGUUAAUUUUAUAAAUCCCCCUAUG